CGCCAGUAGCUGCUGCUCCGUUCACGUGGCCUGUUUCGGGUGAUGCGGAUGUGGAUUCCGAAGCCAGGUCCAGCCUUCAGACUUCCGCGGGGAAGUCUAUGCAAAGACAGCUGCAUGAAGAACAGAGCACGGUACCCGACCUAAGUCAGCGUGUUGGGCUGUGAACCAGGAGGACUCCAUGGAGGAGCGCUCGGCUGGGCCCCCUGAGAGGACAGGACGUUCAGCUGUCUUGGCUGAAAACAGGGAAGAGAGGCAGCCUGCUGUGGGGACACCAGCCGUGGACCGACGCCCUUCUAUGAGAGCUGGCCCAGCUGAGGGGGAAAGUUGCCGCGCAGGCCGUGCGCUUGGCUGUCCUCGCCACGGGAGCCUCUGCCGCUGCGGCUCUCAGCAUUCCAGUGGCAUGACUCCAAGGGAUGAACCUGCAUCGCCUCGUUACUGUCAAUUUGUUGUCAUCUGUUUGCUGUAA
rnacentral:lncRNA from 1 species